AUAGAUGAGCCUAAGUCGGAUUAGCUAGUUGGUGGGGUAAAGGCCUACCAAGGCGACGAUCUGUAGCGGGUCUGAGAGGAUGAUCCGCCACACUGGGACUGAGACACGGCCCAAACUCCUACGGGAGGCAGCAGUGGGGAAUAUUGGACAAUGGGGGGAACCCUGAUCCAGCCAUGCCGCGUGUGUGAAGAAGGCCUUUUGGUUGUAAAGCACUUUAAGUGGGGAGGAGGCUUACCUGGUUAAUACCUGGGCUAAGUGGACGUUACCCACAGAAUAAGCACCGGCUAACUCUGUGCCAGCAGCCGCGGUAAUACAGAGGGUGCGAGCGUUAAUCGGAUUUACUGGGCGUAAAGCGCGCGUAGGUGGUUAAUUAAGUCAAAUGUGAAAUCCCCGAGCUUAACUUGGGAAUUGCAUUCGAUACUGGUUAGCUAGAGUAUGGGAGAGGAUGGUAGAAUUCCAGGUGUAGCGGUGAAAUGCGUAAAGAUCUGGAGGAAUACCGAUGGCGAAGGCAGCCAUCUGGCCUAAUACUGACACUGAGGUGCGAAAGCAUGGGGAGCAAACAGGAUUAGAUACCCUGGUAGUCCAUGCCGUAAACGAUGUCUACUAGCCGUUGGGGGAUUUGAUCCUUUAGUGGCGCAGCUAACGCGAUAAGUAGACCGCCUGGGGAGUACGGUCGCAAGACUAAAACUCAAAUGAAUUGACGGGGGCCCGCACAAGCGGUGGAGCAUGUGGUUUAAUUCGAUGCAACGCGAAGAACCUUACCUGGCCUUGACAUAUUAGAAACUUUCCAGAGAUGGAAUGGUGCCUUCGGGAAUCUACAUACAGGUGCUGCAUGGCUGU
rnacentral:rRNA from 1 species